AGCCACAAUAGCUCAGUUGGUAGAGCAUUUCAUUCGUAACGAAAAGGUCGUGGGUUCGAGUCCCACUCGUGGCUCCCA
rnacentral:tRNA from 1 species